UGGCAACUGAAAGGGCUGCAGUGAGGAAGUCUGCAGCCACCCUCUGUGCAUUAGAGAGCGAAGGAGGGAACCCAGGGAAAGAGUAGGACCCUGGGAGCCUGGCCCUGAGGGCAGGGUGGAGAAGAGAGCCUGUCAGAGUGGCAAAGUGUGUGCUGCACUGAAGGACUCCACAGGAUCCGGCCGGCCACCUCCUCUUCAGUCUGGUACUUCUCUGGCUGCUCUAUGCAUCUGUGCAGGGCUCUUUGUGCACCAGAACGUCUCCCGGGCUUCCAAUGUUACAAAGCUCCUGGACUACUUCCUGUGGAUUUCCACGGCAGCCCUGCUCUGGCUGCCCAAAGCAGGAGAUGCUCCCUGCUGGGUUCAGCCACAGCGUUGCCGUGCAUCUUGGAUGCCCGUCACUCAAGCAACCUGUGAUCUGUGAAUGUACUUUGGAUCCAGCGUCAUUACCGAGUAGCUCAUUAACAGCAGAUCCCUUUUCCAAACCGUAAAUGGGGAAGCUGCUUGCCUGAUGGAUGGGGAUGGAAAAUGGGCAAAAGAUUUAGAGCUGCAAGUGACUCAGUGCUUUGGUAUAUUGUAUUCUCAAAUAUUUAUUUUUAUGUGCUUGUAAAUUUUUUCUAUAAGGAAAAAUAUUGUAAUUGGCCAAUACUUCACUGAAUCUAAAUAUUUGGCUCGUUGCUUCCGGCCACUGCUUUCAGAGAUUUGAUGCUUUGCUGAUUGCACAGCUCUCUCCCUGGACUCCACAAGGUUCCCCCACCCACACGGCACUCUCCACUGUUUACUGAUGACUCAGGCCUUAAAAUGAACAACCUCCAAACAAGUAAGUGGCAAGAGAACGAAGAGACAAUUUGUCCCUGGCUAAUCCUCAGAAAUGGUUCUGCAUCUGGAAAUCCCUUCUAAUGAGAGUGGGGGAGAUGGGGGGGCUUGUGCAUGGGAAACAGCUGGGACAAAGAGAUUGUGUGUUGGUUAUGGAGAAUUACACCAUCAAUCUAUACCAGAUACCCGCUACCCAGAACCCAACCAAUACCAGAUGGCUUUUGGGAGGCAGUGGACUUAAUCAAGGUAAAGCUUAUCCCCAAGGGUUCAUGGGUGAGGCUGCCCAGAGGCUGACUACAUUUGUGACACCACGGGGACCCUGAGUGCACUUGCAUUCCCUUUGGGUUGGCAGAUACACCAGCAGUUUUCUAGUGUUGGUGGGAUGAGUGCCUGAGGGCUUUCUGGAAUGAAAUGUGAUUUUCAUUUUUAAAUGGCAUCCUGGUACAUAACAAGGGGUUGGACCAAUGCAUGGAAGAUGUAAGAAAAGCACUUGAGAGAUUGCAAGGCUAUGGGGUCAAAUUAAAUCUUGGUAUGUCUGAUGACAUCCAUACAGAGCCUGACUCCUGGGGAGUUUUAUACAGAGUGGAGGAGUUGGAGCUGACCCUUGAGAUGUGAUGGACAUUCAAAGUGUGCAGCAAAAGAGACCAGGAAGAGCCCAAGAGAUACAAACCCUAAUCGAUGUCCUGGGCUACUCCCACGAGGCCAGGACAUUGAUUUAUUGCAUUGCUAAACCCUUUUGUGAGUUUUUGAAAGGACCUAAUGAAUAGAAGAAGAGUCCGAAGACAGGAAAAGGAGACGUUUACACUUACCUUUGGUCCAGAAAGUCCAUGGGACAGAAACCCAGUAGGAGACCUUGGGGCAUCUGGUGAACAGUUUACAGGCACACACAACUUCCCGUCACUACCUACCACCACUUCAACCAGUCAUUUAUUUUGCACACCAGAGCUUCCUCCAAGGGGCUAGUGCAAUGCUGUGUCAGUGGCCAGGGGAUAGCUUGUAACAGUCUACAGGUCACGAUCACUUACCCAUGCAAGAAAGCGCUACAGCUUGCAGUCAGGGCACUUAGAAGCCUGGCUUUGAAAUGGGCUGCUUCUGGACAAGUUAGGGUGUGUUUCUACUAUUACUCUACCCUCUUUCAUCUACAGAGACAACAGCCCCAUCACAUAUGUCAUCACUAUGGCAAAGCUCAAUGGCCCGGACUAUUGGUGGGUGCCAGAACUAGCAAAUUUUGGUUUGCAGAAAGAGGCCUGGGAAAGCCAACAUCAGUGCAGACGUCCUUCCCCAGACAUCCCUGAAUAUGGAGGGACAGAUAUUGCAGAGCACCCAGGAGUGUUCAGGGGAUGCUCAUGAUUGAUAUAUACAAUCCCAGCAAGAGGGGAAAGUUCACUGGGUCCCUGAAAAGGAAGAAGGAAGGGCUGAUGCCCCUCACUCUCCCCCUCCCCGUUAGCCAGUUGGUAGGAUACGGCGGGGGGGAGAAAAGCCCUACCCUGAGGGAGCAGUUUAGCUGAGGAGCUCAGCAGGACAUUGAGGUAUGAGGAGAACCUGGCUAUAAGACACCUGAUACAAGACUAGGGCAGAGUUAGGAUUAGGAAGGGAGAAUUGCUAUACAGACUGGUAGGAUUCAAACACCAGUGUGUGCUACGUGAACCACAUGGGCCCUUGGGCUGACACUGUUUACAUGAGAACAGGGCUCACUUCAGGAGUGACCGUGGAUUUCAUUCAAUAAGAGAGAGGGUCUCUUGGCUCUGGGGGAGGAGGAAGAAGGAGAUCAUUAUAUUAGCAAUGUGUGUGUGCAUUAAAUGGCAAACACCCUCUAGUCAGGAAAAGCGCCCAUGCAAAGCAUUCCCACAGCACCCCGUUGCCGCUCCUCCACACUGAGUAUCUCCAUGUCGACAGGAUGCGGGUGGGGAGUGAAUCCACUGCAGUGAUAACAGCCCAACUCAGCUACCGAAGGCCUGCCCAACAACCAAUAAAUCAGGCGGAACAGCUGCUUAUAAAACAUACUGAGGCUUUCUCCUUCCCAUUAAAAAGAUCCACUGAGACCAGGGGAAGGCGUUUGAGGAUCAGCUGUUCAAGAGGCUGUGUGCACAUGGUGAGAUACGCAGCUCCCUGCCACCCACCGAUCUACAAGGCAAUCCCGUUGAAAGCUACACUGGGGCACUAUUGGUAAAGCGACUGUCUGGGCACUGGGGAGCAGCGGUCUCCGUGGAAGGACUCUAUAAACCAAGCGGUGCAAAUUAUUCUCCACUUCUCUGGCGGCACGGCUGGUCUCCAUCGCUAACGCUGCUUUACUUUGUACAGAACAAGGAGGAGAACAGGCAUGCCAGCUCCACAGCCUGGUGGCCCAGGAAAUGACGGUGGGGAAAUAGUAGAAAAUCAGCAUCAAGAAGAAAAGUGUCUUAGGAGCGGGGAGAUCUUAGUGCUGUUUUGCCCCCAGGAGACAGAGGCCUGCUAAGAAACCUGCCUGACCCAGGGGAAUUCAGAUCGUGUUGGGAGGGCACAAUUUAUGCUGUGGAAGAGAGACGGGGAGAGGAUCCUGUCUAUACGGUGAAGCCUGAAAGCUGAACGGGUGCAAACUAAAGUGAAGUACUUCACCAGCAUCUUCUAAUUCCUUCCGAGUGCUCCAGCUGGGAACCGAGCCGGAGUCCCAGCCCACGGGGCAAAGCAGCACAGAGGCAAAGAAGCUCUCGGGCUUGAGGAAUCCAACGCGAUGAAGCAGAUGGAGAUGCCAGUAGCUGGAUACAGACUCGGCUAUUGGAGUAUUAGCCUGAAAAUCAAUGGUAGCUGCCACCAGAGAGCAGCACAGCCGCUAGUCCAGUGCCUGAGAGGCUGACUGGCACUUCUAGGGCACUAAUCAGCCAUUGGCGAGGAGUUAGCACUAGAAGAAUUGGGAUCCAGAGACAAAUGCCAACCCCUGCGCCAAUUCAACAGUCCCAGCCUACUGCCAAUACCCGCACCAUCAGUCCUGGCUCCCCAAACACGGACAGGAGCGACGGGACCCUGAAGUCAGGGCUUUUUCCAUCAGCACAUGGGAGCUUAGCCUGUGACUGGAAACCCCCCCAUGGCAAUCACACAAGUGCUGGAGAUUCCAGGACCAGAAUCAAAACUUUUUUUCCAUAAAAUCGCAGGUUUAAAAGGACUCUGAGCGCACUGUCAUGGGAAGUGCUGAGGGUGCUGUUUGCACAAGGACGUGAUGUAGGGCCAUGGAGGCGUGAGGUCAGACAUUCAGUGGUAUUUAUUCAUGCAGAGCCUGGCAAUCUUCAGAUCCCAGAGGCAGCGCGAAAGCAGUGUGACGUCUUCGUUAGAACGGGAGGUGUCUGGGCCGUGUGGGGAGCUGCUCAUUGUGGCAAGAGCCCCCCAGUGCUUGACAGGGGCGUGGAGGGGUCGACUGAACCUUUCCCUGGAAGCUGUUGGUGAAUCAGAGGAGCCUAGUGCAAGGCAUGUUGGGAAGAUGACUUAAUGGCUGUGAGGCACUCGGAGUGCAUCCGCUGGCGUGCUCUGGGAGUCUGACGGAUUACGGUGACGGGCUGCUUGCUUCUUGGAGGGAGGGUCCAAGCCACACCAGCAGUGAGGGAGGCAGCACUGUCUGGGGAAAAUACACAUAGCCAGCUCCGUGCAUCCCCAUCCCCAUCCCCAUCCCCCCGGGCAGCAUGUGAAAAAUGAGAGACUUUGGCUGUUUCACAGAGUCCCAGCAUCACUGGCUGCACAGGAGAAGAGCCGGAGGUGUGAUCGGAGAGAGACAGACUGGGCUCCUCUCCGCUUACCUGGGGCUGGGUAAGGCAGGAGGUUUGAGGAGCCCAGCACAUGGAACAGCUGGUGGUGAGUAAGGAGCAGGUCAGCUCAGGUGGCAGCCGCACGUGGGGAUGGAGCUGACACAGCAAAGCUGCCAGCCUCCAGGAUGUGAGCCAGACCUGCCAGCUGGGAGCCACCCCCCGUGAAAGGCUCACAGGCCAUAUUGUGAGUGUCAUUAGAGCAGCCCGGGACAGGCCCUGACUAAUCCAGCAUGAAUCAUGCACUCUGUAUGCGAGGGGGCCGCACACCCCUGAGAAACCUUGGGCUAGAGCCAGACACAAGACCAGGGAGAAACUCAGCACAGGUAACAGCAAAACACCCUGUGCGUGUGCAGAGCGCUGGGCCCCAGCCCAUCUCACGCUCUGUCCCACGAGGAGCCACUGGAUCUCCCCAGUAGCAGCGCUCAGCACACACUCGUCCACAGAAGAGGAGUCGAGCCAGAGCAGAGACGGUGCUGUGUCCCAGCUGUCCGCGCUCGGGGUGGGACGUGGGCCAGGCCAAGGGGACUGGGAACCUCAGGACAGGCACCUCGGGCUCAGAUAAAUCACGCUGUGGAGACCAGGGAAGCGUAGAGCAUUCAGCUCAGUCGGCAACUUUAACAUGUGCAGCUCCCUGGGUGCAGGAUGGGAGGCAGAGCCGUGGCAGUGAGAACCUCCCACUCUCUAGUGUUGCUCCUUUGCUCACCGCCUGGGAGAGCGUCACAAGCCCCAGCAUGACGCUGCACAGCAUCAGGCCAAGUCAGAGAGUGAGAAAUGAAUCUCACAUAAUAGUGCCCUGAGCUCUUGCCCAGCAGGACGUGAAUCAGGCCUAAGAAAUGAGAAGCUCCCCCCUGGAACAGCAUCUUCCUUUGGCCGGGGUGUGAGCCGGACACGGGGCCUGAGAAGUUCAGCAUGUGUAAUGGUGUCAAACACUAACUCUGGGCAGGCACAAGUCAGAGCCUUGUGGCCAGUGCACAGAACAGCUUCCCUGGGUGGAGACAGAGCCGUGGUGUGAGAGGAGCCCGGCGCCAAUGUCUGUGGCACAGCUCAGCGCUCGGCUUGGCAGCCGGCGUCAGCGAGAUGGGAGAUGCCGCACAUGCGUGUCACUGGGGAAAGGCUCACACUGGUUUCCAGCCAGGAGAGAGUUAACUCCUUCUGGAGCUCGCCCGCAGAUGCCCAGAGUCACUUUAAUGGGGCAGGACGCCCACCUAUGGGAUCUAGCUCCCAGCAUCUUCUGAGAUGGUUCCCAAGCUGGGGGGGAGGGUAACGUUAUUUCAUUGACCCACUGAUCAGUUAAUUAACGCUCCCCCACCCCAGCAGAAGAAGAGGGUGCAGUGCAGCAGGCAGAGCCGACAAUGUGGCACUUUAAGCAGAUGACCCCACGGCUCUUCCGAAGGGUCUGACUCUCUCUCCCCCCCCCAUCUUCGUAUGGCUGUGCCAUUCUCACGGGGGUCCCUGGCUGCCCCUGCCCUCGGGGAUUUCCUCCCGAGUCCCCCAGCAAGUCGGCCCCGUAUCUAUGCCAAGGUCAGGUACUUGAGCUGGGUCCUGAUCUGGUGAGAGGCCAGACUGAGCCAGGCCUCUAGUCCAGCGGUCUCCAAACUUUUUUGAUCGCUCACCCCAUCAGUAAAAACUUUUUGAGCACGCACUCCUGCUCCCGGCCGAACUGUCGAAGCAAAAAAAGGGGCGCUGCUCCGGCGGCGCUCCUCCUGCUAUGCACCCCCAAGGAUCCUCUUGUGCACCCCACUUUGGAGACCUUGGCUCUAGGCCCAGGCUCCUGUCUCAGCAUUGGCUGCAGCAUUUAAACCUUUACAAAAUGCAGUUUUAAAAACAAUGUAGUGGCUGCACAGCAAAGCUUCCCGCCAUGAGCUGGCCACGGCAGCUGCCGGUGCGCAGCCAGACCAGAAUGGAGCCCCGGAGACCUGGGAACAGCCUGCAGCCAGCUCUGGGGUGUUGGCCCUGAAGCCUAAUGAGAGCGGUAAUGGAAAUAUCAUUACCUGGUGCACUGAAUAUUUUGGCAGGAACAUCCAGGCGUGGUGCCCACAUCAUCAGGUGCCAUUUCUGGUCGUGUCCUUCCCCCAGGCCAGACAGGCCCUGGCUUGAGACUGGCCUGAACUGUUUGCAGCACCGGAUCAGCUCAGAGCAGUGUAUCAUAGAAUCUCAGGGUUGGAAGGGACCUCAAGAGGUCAUCUAGUCCAACCCCCUGCUCAAAGCAGGACCAAUCCCCAACU